CAGAUUUCACUGGCGAUUUCACUAGAUCGACGGAUUUCACCGACGAUUUCACUUCUCAGAUCGACGGAUUUCACCGGCGAUUUCACUAGAUCGACGGAUUUCACCGACGAUUUCACUUCUCAGGGUUUCUUUCUCCAGCGAUUCCGACAUCAGAUCUACAUGGUUCAACUUCUC